rnacentral:rRNA from 1 species
CAGGAGAGGUUAGCGGAAUUCCAGGUGUAGCGGUGAAAUGCGUAGAGACCGGGAGGAACACCAGUGGCGAAGGCGGCUAACUGGACUGUAACUGACGCUGAGGCACGAAAGUGCGGGGAUCAAACAGGAUUAGAUACCCUGGUAGUCCACACUGUAAACGAUGAUAACUCGCUGUCGGCGAUAUACAGUCGGUGGCCAAGCGAAAGCGAUAAGUUAUCCACCUGGGCAGUACGACCGCAAGGUGUAAACUC